UGACAAUGGGACUCCUGGUCAAGGGUCAAGAAUGAUUGCUCUUCUUCAGAGAAAACUGAAUGAAGCCAACUGGACCAGGGAAGACCUGUUGGACACUGUAUCCUGGAACUCUUGACCACACCAGAGAGAAAGAAAUAAGGAAAAUGGCAUCUGGCAUCUGUUUAUUUUACCUGAAACUUCUCAGGUGAAGAGCUUAGACACCCUGGAUAUUCUGACACAACCACUCUGAAGAACCCACAAGAAGAUCUGGCAAAGUGAACAAACAAGAAAUCUCAAGAAGAGUAAGGAAGAGUCUCCUUUGUAAGAAAGUGGAGUCAUUUGUCUGCUUUCCAAGUUCUAUUCUCAGUAAAAGCACAAUCAAAGCAGG
rnacentral:lncRNA from 1 species